ensembl:lncRNA
CCCCAUGGGGAAAAAAAGGACAAAAUAUGAGCACAUACACCAGGCUCCUGUUCCUCUUAGGCUGUUAGCUUUAUUGGGCUGGUUUGUCGUUUGUCUGCUAGUGAUGUGUGGGACUCUCCUCACUUCACUUCCCUUCGUCCCUCUUCAAGGGUUUCUCUUGUGAUCUCUGCCCAUCUCCCAACAACCUUUCCCUCUCUCAGUACAGCUGCUGAUUUCAAAAUGCUGAGCCCUCUUCUGUAGGAGCCUGUCCCCCUAUCAUAGCUGAUGGAUGGGGUUGGAUGCCUGACCCAAAUUAGCCAAUCAGAGUUUCUCUCCUGAGAAUGUAAAGAGGGACAGAGAUAGGUGGGGACCAAAAGUUAUGGGAGCUGAGCCCUGUGUGGUAGGCAGAAUUUUACAUAGGGCACGUGUAAUAUGAUGAGAAGCUGAGCUUCUCACUCCCACAAUUGCUGUGUUACUUGGCAGGGUUGACCUUAAGAUAAAAGACUCUCAGGUGAGCCUGAUCUAGUCAUCUGGUUCUUUCAAAGCAGCAGGAGUCAGAUUUGAAGCACGAGGGACUUUGCUGGCUUGAAGAUGGAGGGGGUCAUAGGGGAAGAAAGUGCUGUGGCUUCUAGGAGCUGACGGAGUUUCCCAGCUGAGAGCCAUUGAGGAAGUGGACACCUCAAUCUUAUAAUCACAAGGACGUGAUUCAGCCAACAACCUGAAGGAGCUUAGAAGUGGACUUUCCCCUCAAGCUUCCAGAGAAGACCCCAGCAUGGCUGACACCUUGGCUUUGGUCUUGAGCAGAGGACAAAGUUGAGCUGUGCCAGACUUCUGACCUACAGAACUAUCCCAUUUAGUGAAUCCUGCUUGCUCUACCUUCAGGAUAUAUCCAGCUGCUGCCCCUGCCAUCCUGUCCAGGCCAUUGCCACCUCUUGUCUGAAUCAUCACAGAGCCUCUAACACGUCUCCCUUCAUCCUUUUGCCCCUGACACGGUGGAGAAGAGACCAAACAGCUGCCAGAGAUCCUCAGCAUGGCGCCCUGGGGCACCGAGGACGCGUGUGCUGCUGUGAAAGCAGAAGCCAGAAUUCUCAUGAUGACUUCAGGGCCCCCUGUGACUCGGCCCCUACGUCCUUCUCUUCAUGCCCUCGCACACUUCUCACCUCUCAUUCUAUUCCAGCCACAGGGGUCUGGCUUCCGUUCCCUGAACUCUCAUGCCCUGAGGCCUUUGCACUCGCUGUCCCUUCUGCCCACACUGCUCUUCUCUAGGGUAUCUGACAGCUCACUCCCUCACCUCUUUCAGGGCUUUCAAAUGCCACCUUCCUCAUGGAGCCUUCCUGGUCAUUCUAUUCAUAAUUUCUCCCCUAAUGGAAACCCUUCACCCCACUAUGUCCCUGAUUUCAUUUUCUCUUUAGAACUUAUGAUGAUCUGACAUACAUAUUUAUAUUAUAUAUUUUAUAUACUUAUUGUGUUGAUUGUCUUUUUCCUGCACAAGAAUAUGAAGUCUAUGAAGAAAUAGUUUUUUUAAAAGUUCUAUCCAGGGCUUCCCUGGUGGUUCAGUGGUUAAGAAUCUGCCUGCCAAUGCAGAGGACACAGGUUUGAUGCCUGGUCUGGGAGGAUCCCACAUGCCACUAAGCCCAUGUGCCACAACUACUGAAGCUGGCACACACUAGAGCCUGUGCUCGGCAACAAGAGAAGCCUCUGCAAUGAGAAGCCUGCGCACCACAACUUGAGAGAGCCCACGUGCAGUGAUGAAGACCCCGUGGACCCAAAAAUAAAUAAAUACAAACACAUUUCCUUAAAAAAAAAUGUUCUAUCCAUUGCCAUACGCCCAGUGCCUAAAAUAGCACCUAAUACAUAUUGAAAGUAUUAGCUGCUCAGUCCUGUUCGACUCUUUGCAACCCCAUUGACUAUAGCCCACCAGGCUCCUCAGACCAUGGCAUCCUCCAGGCAAGAAUACUGGAAGGGACUGCCGUUCCCUUCUCCAGGGGAUCUUUCUAACCCAGGGAUUCAACCCAGGUCUUCUACAUUGAAGGCAGAUUCUUUACUGUCUGAGCCACCAGGGAGGCCCUAACACAUAUUAAGUGCUCAAUAAGUACUUGUUGAAUGGUUGAUAGA